UACGGAGGGUGCUAGCGUUGUUCGGAACCACUGGGCGUAAAGCGCGUGUAGGCGGUCCGCUAAGUCUGGUGUGAAAGCCCGGGGCUCACCCCCGGAAGGGCACUGGAAACUGACGGACUAGAGUCCCGGAGAGGAGGGUGGAAUUCCUGGUGUAGCGGUGAAAUGCGUAGAUAUCAGGAGGAACACCGGUGGCGAAGGCGGCCCUCUGGACGGUGACUGACGCUGGAGAACGCGAAAGCGU
rnacentral:rRNA from 1 species